UUAUAUAAUUUGCGGAAAUUUUAACCCCCGCUAUCUAUCAAAAAUAUACCGCCAACAACUUAUAUAAUUUGCGGGGGUUUUAACACCCGUUAUCCAUUCCCAAAAAAUACCACUCCAAAUAAUAUAAUUUGUGGGGGCUUUAACCCCCGCUAUCCAUAAAAAAAAAAUACCGCGAACACAGAGUAUAUUUCCCCCUUUUUCCCCAAAAAACAUUUGUCUCUCUCAUUUUCCCCAAAAAUAUUUCUCUAAUUUCCCCCAAAUAUUUCGCGCCGGCCAUUAUACGCAGUGGGAGGUCUCUAUCCAUUUCCUUUCCAGCUCUGAUCAACUGUUAAGGUGAUGUGUUCAAAGACCUAGUUGGUAGUGCAUAAUAUGUUUCUCCUAAAGUUCUACACCGAGAAUAUGGACCUGAAGCAGAUAUUUGAAGUGCUGGAGUUAUUCUAUACAUUCUACUCAGUGGUGUUCCACCAUUUUAUUGAGAUAACUUCAUCUGCUAUCUCUACAAUUUUAGCAUCAAAAUUAGAAUGAUCAGAGUGUCUUUAAUGCCGUUCUUCGAAGUCAUCUUAAUUUUUCAUCUGAUCCUUGGCCUUCUGCAGCGAGUAGCGCUAAAGAUCUUAUGAAGAAAAUGCAAAUAUCUGAUCCUAGAGAAAGGAUUUCUGCAGUUGAAGUCCUAAAUCAUCCAUGGAUGAGAGAAGAUGGUGAUGCAUCUGACAAACCUCUUGACAUUGCUGUCUUAUCUAGAAUGAAACAAUUCUAUGCUAUGAACAAGCUGAAGAAAGUAGCAUUGAGGGUUGGAGUCAUAUAUUCAAUGUUCUUAUUCUUAACGAGAUAGGCAAUGUCUCUCCUUUUCAUGCGUUUCCCAACAACUGUGCUUAUGUUUCAUUUCCCUUAAUUUGUACGUAAUUGCUGAAAAUCUCACCGAACAAGAAAUCAUUGGCUUGAAGGAAAUGUUCAAAUCUAUAGACACGGAUAACAGUGGGACAAUUACAUUUGAAGAAUUGAAAGCUGGUCUUACAAAAAUGGGUACAAAGCUUUCUGAGUCAGAAGCCAUGUAGUUGAUGGAAGUGCCAAGUGAUGCGGCUAGUGGACCCAUUUCCCCAUGGAUGUAAGGAAAUCGCGUGAUGAUAAUGAUCCUAAUGACAUUCUUUGAUUUUGUUGCAUUUGUCUUGGAUAUUCAAUUAUGAUGAUGUAAUUGUGUGGUUGGAAUGAAUCUUAGAAUAUUGAAGGUUUUGUGUUUAAAUUUGAUUUUGUGGUUUGAAGAUACUAGUUAAUGUUGAAAAUUUGGAGUUUGAAGAUGUUAGUGUUGAAAAUUUAAUUUUGAAGUUUAAUGUUCAAUGUAUUUUUGAUAUGCUUGUCAAUUACAAUGUUCAAUUACUCUGUUGUAUUAAUGAUGUAUGAAUUGAACAAAUAUUGAAUUGUA